GAUGAACGCUGACAGAAUGCUUAACACAUGCAAGUCGAUGGGGAAGUGGUGCUUGCCCCAUGGUGACCAUGGCGGACGGGUGAGUAACGCGUAAGGAACUUGCCUGCGGGACUGGGAUAACAGCAGGAAACUGCUGAUAAUACCGGAUAAGGUCAUUAAGCUGCAUAGCUUAGUGAUGAAAGGAGACGCCUGCGGAGAGCCUUGCGUCCUAUUAGCUAGUUGGAGGGGUAACGGCCCACCAAGGCGAAGAUAGGUAGCCGGCCUGAGAGGGUGGACGGCCACAAGGGGACUGAGAUACGGCCCUUACUCCUACGGGAGGCAGCAGUGGGGAAUAUUGGACAAUGGGGGCAACCCUGAUCCAGCAAUUCUGUGUGCACGAAGACGGUUUUCGGAUUGUAAAGUGCUUUCAGCAGGGAAGAAGGAAGUGACGGUACCUGCAGAAGAAGCGACGGCUAAAUACGUG
rnacentral:rRNA from 1 species